AAGUCGUAACAAGGUCUCCGUUGGUGAACCAGCGGAGGGAUCAUUACAAGAAGCCGAAAGGCUACUUAAAACCAUUGCGAACUCAUCCAAGUUGCUUCGGCGGCGCGGAGCCCUUCACCGGGCGCCGCAGCCCCGCCUCUCCGGAGGUGUCGGGCGCCCGCCGGAGGUACGAAACUCUCAUGUAUUAUAGUGGUAUCUCUGAGUAAAACACAAAUAAGUUAAAACUUUCAACAACGGAUCUCUUGGUUCUGGCAUCGAUGAAGAACGCAGCGAAAUGCGAUAAGUAAUGUGAAUUGCAGAAUUCAGUGAAUCAUCGAAUCUUUGAACGCACAUUGCGCCCGCUAGUACUCUAGCGGGCAUGCCUGUUCGAGCGUCAUUUCAACCCUCAAGCCCUGCUUGGUGUUGGGGCCCUACGUCAGACGUAGGCCCUGAAAGGAAGUGGCGGGCUCGCUACAACUCCGAGCGUAGUAAUUCAUUAUCUCGCUAGGGAAGUGUGGCUUGCUCCUGCCGUUAAAGACCCCAUCUUUAACCAAGGUUGACCUCGGAUCAGGUAGGAAUACCCGCUGAACUUA
rnacentral:rRNA from 1 species